GUAGUAGGGAAGGAUCUCUUGCUGGAGAUGCCCCCCCCCUCUCUUCUGGAGUUUUCCUCCUGAGCCUAGAUGUUUAGAGAUGGCUUUUUUGAAAGUUGACGUGGGAGCCUGAAGUUAAUAUCUUUUCCAGUUCUUUGAAGCAAAUUAUUUGCCAGAUUUAAACCACAUCAGGUCUUCACUGUGAUUCACUUACAAGGAUAUUUUCUACUUUUGUUUCUGAUGCUCUUCAACUCAGCUGCCAAAUGGGGACUGAAGUUUUACUGGAAGAGCAAUCCUAGUGAGAAAAUGGCGUUUAGAAGUCUAUCUGCAGACAGGGACAGAGAACGGACUUUGUUCAGAUAACAGAAAGCAAGUAUCUGGAGACUGCUAUGGUAACUUGCAGCACUGGAGAAGAGUGCUGCUAUGACAGCCUCAUGCAAAGUAGAGCCAACUGCACAGCCUUCCCCCCAUGCUGCAGCUGUGUCCAGACCUAACAGAGGGCAAUAGCUGAAGUUCUGGAAAGCCAUUUCUGCUCUUUUCAGUCCUGGCUUCAUAAUUUAUAUUUCAGAUGUGACUAGAGAUAGUUAUUUCAUUCAUGGAUGUUAACAAAAUAAUUAAACUAUUAACUAUUCAUAUUCCACUAGCCCGUUGGUGUAGUUUUCCAAUAAUAAUCAUGCUCUGUAAUGCUGUUAUGCUAUAGUUCUGCUAUCAGUAUUUUCCAAGGAUUUAUAUAUAUAUAUAUUUCAUUAAGCAGACGUAGACUUGCAGUAGGAAUUUCCACGCUAUGGUUUAUAGUUGCUUAUACGCAAUUUCCAGUGUGAGAUCAGCCCCAUGCUUGCUCCACAGAAGGUAACGUUAUGAAGUUUAGGAAAGCAAGUCAAACAGAAGUUUGAACUAGAGAUGGCAGAAGUUUUAAUCCACAGAGUGGUCCGAGAAGUGUCACAGAGAGUAUUUUAUUUUUGUUAGCCAUCACAAUCUUAGCUAAAUAAACAAACAGUUAAUAAAGAAAGGUUGUGGGCUUUUUUCCUAUUCCAGUCAAAAAUAAAAAGGAGGUAUAUUAUCUACUUUUUCUAAAGUCCUCAAAGAAUGCUGUCAUCAUAAAAUUAUGUGCACAGAAUACACUUAUAAUUUAAUUAGUAUUUAAAAUAUACAACCAUGCUUUGAUAAAUCCAGUAACUCCCUUGCACUGAACUAAUAAGCAUGCAAUGCCAUCAUUUCCAGCCACCACGUUUUCAUGACUAUCUUAAGACAUCGUUCACUAUUUCAUAACUGUCUGGGUAAAUGGAAUUUGUUUAAUUACUUCAUUGUAUACCGCACUGUCAUAAAGAAAAUACCAAAUUUUGCUUUUAUGUGAACUUGUGAGCAAUGAGAGGUCUUUUACUAUUAUUAUUUAUUUAGGAAAGCAGCUAAAAUUGCAAGAGUAGAUCAGCGUUAAAAUCAAAGUUUCUGGCUGCUGAGUUCAAGCAUGACUCACCCUGGCAGUACAACUGUAUUGAAUUAAAAUCGGUUCAACAUAGCAUUACAGACAAGCAGGCUUUUCUGCCAUUUAACCAUAGGGAAUUCUUACUGCAAAGCAGACCUCACGCGGUUCUGCAGGCGCUGUGAGUGAAUCGCUCGCUGGCACGGCAGGUCGCGCGAUCACAUAGCGGCACCACGGUGCCGGUGAUCACCAACGCUACUUAGCGCUUGGAAACGAAGCACGCCUUGGUGCGCCAUCGGUUUGUUGUCUUUAAUCCUCGCAACGAUUCACAACCAGAUGAAGGCAAUGGCCAUCCCAGCCUGAAUCGCGGCGCGGAAAGAGAA